AUUGAACGCUGGCGGCAUGCCUUACACAUGCAAGUCGAACGGUAACGCGGGGCAACCUGGCGACGAGUGGCGAACGGGUGAGUAAUGCAUCGGAACGUGCCCAGUCGUGGGGGAUAACUGCCCUAAAGAGCAGCUAAUACCGCAUACGACCCGAGGGUGAAAGCGGGGGAUCGCAAGACCUCGCGCUAUCGGAUCGGCCGAUGUCAGAUUAGGUAGUCGGUGGGGUAAAGGCCCACCAAGCCAACGAUCUGUAGCUGGUCUGAGAGGACGACCAGCCACACUGGGACUGAGACACGGCCCAGACUCCCACGGGAGGCAGCAGUGGGGAAUUUUGGACAAUGGACGCAAGUCUGAUCCAGCCAUGCCGCGUGCGGGAAGAAGGCCUUCGGGUUGUAAACCGCUUUUGUCAGGGAAGAAACGCUCUGGGUUAAUACCUCGGGGUAAUGACGGUACCUAAAGAAUAAGCACCGGCUAACUACGUGCCAGCCGCCGCCGUAAUAC
rnacentral:rRNA from 1 species